rnacentral:tRNA from 1 species
GUUGCUAACUCAAUGGUAGAGUACUCGGCUUUUAA